AAUUAGGAAAAGAGCCCUCGAAUUGGUGUACCUCCUGGUGAAUGAGAGCAAUGUAAAACCAUUAACUAAAGAAUUAACUGAAUACCUGGAAGUUAGCGAUCAAGAUUUUAAAGCAGAUCUGACUGCCAAAAUUUGAUCAAUAAUGACUGCCAAAAUUUGCUCCAUCAUUGAAAAGUAAGUUAUCGUGUGCAUGAAUGUGGUUACUUUCUUGGUUCUUUCAGAAAUUUGUGCUGAGCUUUAAGCACUGCCCCCAGCUCCAAGU
rnacentral:lncRNA from 1 species